rnacentral:rRNA from 1 species
UACGGGGGGGGGCAAGCGUUGUUCGGAAUUACUGGGCGUAAAGGGCUCGUAGGCGGCCAACUAAGUCAGACGUGAAAUCCCUCGGCUUAACCGGGGAACUGCAUCUGAUACUGGAUGGCUUGAGUUUGGGAGAGGGAUGCGGAAUUCCAGGUGUAGCGGUGAAAUGGCGUAGAUAUCUGGAGGAACACCGGUGGCGAAGGCGGCAUCCUGGACCAACACUGACGCUGAGGAGCGAAAGCCCAGGGGAGCAAAGCGGG